ACUCUAACACAUGACAAACUCCAGUUGCUGCAUCAUUUAUCAAACGCACCCUUUGCAGUGGGGCGGCUUGUUUAAGGGAUGGAUCAUUGUUUUGCUUUGCUAUCUGCGGCCUAGAUUUUACGUUAGCUCUAACAGUCACAAUUGCGCAAAACACUGCGGAAAAAAACACUACAGCAGUGGAGGAACAAUGCGCUUCGGGUCUUAUUCACGGAGGAUAUUUCUGCUUCACCUGACUAUGAGAAACACAUUGUAGCAGCCAACUGGUCCCCAUGUAGGAGGCAAACCCUUCGGCCAGCGGCAAGCUGGUCCCAGCCUGCUGGCAGCAGCAACAGCGUGCCCACUUCAUGCUUGAGCCACACCUCCACUCACAGUCCGUCACGCCAGCCUGCAGUGCAUACCUGGCAAACGCCGCAGCGGCUUGCCAAGGAAGAUUUAUACCUGGUGUUUGACCUACUUGAGUUUGCAUCUAUAUUAGUGAAGGAAAGGGCUUGGUUGUGGGGGAGAGAAAGGUCACAGA